CCUUAUACGAUGAUUACUCACGAUGAGUGUCCACACAGAUUGAUAGUUCACAAGCGAAAGCUUGUAGCUAACAUAGCUCUUUAACAAUUUGGAAAGCUGACAAAACAAUCUUUAAGAUUGUUUGUAAAGUUCUCAAAGUAUUCUUAAUUGAAUACUCCAAACAACACAUUCAAGUGUUCUUGGAAUUUGAGUCCGGCAAAAUCGAGUCUGCAUCAUGUAUAAAAAUUGCAGACAACUUUGGUGAUUUGACUUCAACUCGAAACUCCUUCGGGUUGUAU
rnacentral:misc_RNA from 1 species